ensembl:lncRNA
GGACGAGGGAGGUGAUCCUGCCCUCUACUCUGCACUUGUGAUGCCUCACGUGGAGUACUGUGUCCAGAUGUGGAGUCCUCAGUACAGGAGAGACAUGGACCUGUUGGAGCACAUCCAGAGGAGGGCCACAAAAAUGAUCCAAGGGAUGGAACACCUCUCCUAUGAAGGCAGGCUGAGAGAGCUGGGGCUGUUCAACCCAGAUGUGGUUGGUCCCCCAUCCCUGGAGACAGUCGAGGUCAGGCUGGCCGUGACUGAGCAACCUCCUCUAGCUGUAGGUGCCCCUGUUCAUUGCAGAGGAGCUGGACUAGAUGACUUUUAAAGGUCCCUUCCAACCCAAACAAUUCUGUGAUUCUAUUCUAUGAAUAAGGAAGUCAUUUUAAAAAGAGUAACUACCUCUGAAGUGGUUGACCACAGCAUUGCACAGCGUGUGCUACUUGCUUUCCAAUAGUUUGCUUUUUCCUCCAGCAUCCAAACCACGAGCCUGACUGUGGCCUCUGCAGUGUUGUGCUGCAUGGUUAAAACAUGAAGACAUGAGCCUUCAUAACUGUAAUGCUGCAAAACCACAGUGCCUGUGUUGAUGACACCACCACCCCUAAAAUCUCCGCUGAGUCAAAUCUAAAAAAAUAAAUGAUUUGCAAACUCCUGCAAAGGCCAUCUAAAAAUAUACCACCAGGAGUGACUUUUGUAGUUUCUGUGGAAAUAAACAGGAGGCAUUACUUUUGGUGCAACCUGCUGAACAGGACCUGAUGAAAAGGAGAUGGCAUGAGGGAGGAGAUGGGUAAUUAGUCCUAGGGAAGGAGCUGGCUCUUGUCAAACAUCAGAUAGCUGGGGCUCAUCACUACAAACUUAACCGCCCAGAAAGGGCAAAGAAAAAGCAGCCUCUCUCCUUCCUCUUUGUGCACAACCUGGGACUGCAGCACCUGAUUUCCAUGAGAAGAGGCCAUUUCUGGCAUGGACAUUCCCAGCAACUGGAGUCCCCUCAGUGCUGUCCUGAAAGAGGAGGGGAGGAAAGAACUCGCCAUUCCAAAAGGCCCAGAGCUGCCAGAAAGGUCCAAGGAAGGCUGAUUGUGCACUAAGGGAAUGAAGGGAAAGAGGAUCCCUGCUCCUUGCUGGGAUAAAACCAAACACCAUCCAAAAUUGGUGGGGGAAGGACUGUGGAGAGUUUUGAUGCAUUGACACAGACAUCAAGUUGCUGAUGAGGACACUGCAGUAUGGGGCUGAUUUUGGAUGCUUGAGUGACAUAACAUCCAUAAGUACUGCUGGUCUCAAAUCAGUCUCAUGUGGGGUUUUUAUGAGCACUUUUCAUUCAUAGAUCUCAGAGGGCUUCACAGAGGAGAGAGCUAUAAACAAGACAGAGGGGAGUGAGGGAUAGGCUGGGGCUUUUAAAAGGCAGUGUGUUGUUUCUUUAAGGGGUUCUGUAGAUAAGAGCUCUGUAUGAAGUCUCAUUUUACCAAAAAUAAAAUAUUUUGCAAUGGC